rnacentral:rRNA from 1 species
GACGAACGCUGGCGGCGUGCCUAAUACAUGCAAGUCGUGCGGACCUUGUUGAAAGCUUGCUUUUAAAAGGUUAGCGGCGGACGGGUGAGUAACACGUGGGCAACCUGCCUGUAAGACUGGGAUAACGCCGGGAAACCGGGGCUAAUACCAGAUCGUUUUUUCCUCCGCAUGGAGGAAAAAGGAAAGGCGGCUUCGGCUGCCACUUACAGAUGGGCCCGCGGCGCAUUAGCUAGUUGGCGGGGUAAUGGCCCACCAAGGCAACGAUGCGUAGCCGACCUGAGAGGGUGAUCGGCCACAUUGGGACUGAGACGCGGCCCAAACUCCUACGGGAGGCAGCAGUAGGGAAUCUUCCGCAAUGGACGAAAGUCUGACGGAGCAACGCCGCGUGAGUGAAGAAGGCCGUCGGGUCGUAAAACUCUGUUGCCGGGGAAGAACAAGUGCCGUUCGAACAGGGCGGCGCCUUGACGGUACCCGGCCAGAAAGCCACGGCUAACUACGUG